rnacentral:rRNA from 1 species
CCUACGGGUGGCAGCAGUGAGGAAUAUUGGUCAAUGGGCGCGAGUCUGAACCAGCCAAGUAGCGUGCAGGAUGACGGCCCUAUGGGUUGUAAACUUCUUUUAUAAAGGAAUAAAGUGAGGCACGUGUGCCUUUUUGUAAGUAACGUAUGAAUAAGGAUCGGCUAACUCCGUGCCAGCAGCCGCGGUAAUACGGAGGAUCCGAGCGUUAUCCGGAUUUAUUGGGUUUAAAGGGUGCGUAGAUGGGUUGUUAAGUUAGUUGUGAAAGGUUGGGGCUCAACCGUAAAAUUGCAAUUGAUACUGGCAGUCUUGAGUACAGUUGAGGUAGGCGGAAUGCGUGGUGUAGCGGUGAAAUGCUUAGAGAUCACAAAGAACUCCGAUUGCGAAGGCAGCUUACUAAACUACCCCUGACAUUGAUGCUCGAAAGUGUGGGUAUCAAACAGGAUUAGAUACCCGAGUAGUC